GUAGGGUGCAAGCGUUGCCCGGAUUUAUUGGGCGUAAAGGGCGCGUAGGCGGCUACGCACGUCCGUUGUGAAAUCGCUCGGCUCAACUGGGCGGGGUCAGCGGAUACGGUGUAGCUGGAGCAAGCUAGGGGGCAAUGGAAUUCCCGGUGUAGUGGUGGAAUGCGUAGAUAUCGGGAGGAACACCAGUGGCGAAGGCGGUUGCCUGGAGCUUUGCUGACGCUGAUGCGCGAAAGCGUGGGGAGCGAUCCGGAUUAGAUACCCGGGUAGUCCACGCCGUAAACGAUGUCGACUAGGUGUCGGGGGUAUCGACCCCCUCGGCGCCGCAGCUAACGCAUUAAGUCGACCGCCUGGGGACUACGGCCGCAAGG
rnacentral:rRNA from 1 species